rnacentral:rRNA from 1 species
GACGAACGCUGGCGGCGUGCUUAACACAUGCAAGUCGAGCGGUAAGGCCCUUUCGGGGGUACACGAGCGGCGAACGGGUGAGUAACACGUGGGUGACCUGCCCUCAGCUCUGGGAUAAGCCUGGGAAACCGGGUCUAAUACUGGAUAUGACUCCAUGACGCAUGUUGUGGGGUGAAAGCCUUGUGCGGCUGAGGAUGGGCCCGCGGCCUAUCAGCUUGUUGGUGGGGUGAGGCCUACCAAGGCGACGACGGGUAGCCGGCCUGAGAGGGCGACCGGCCACACUGGGACUGAGACACGGCCCAGACUCCUACGGGAGGCAGCAGUGGGGAAUCUUGCGCAAGUGGGCGAAAGCCUGACGCAGCGACGCCGCGUGAGGGAUGACGGCCU